rnacentral:rRNA from 1 species
UACGAAGGGGGCUAGCGUUGCUCGGAAUCACUGGGCGUAAAGGGUGCGUAGGCGGGUCUUUAAGUCAGGGGUGAAAUCCUGGAGCUCAACUCCAGAGCUGCCUUCGAUACUGGCGAUCUUGAGUCCGGAAGAGGUGAGUGGAAUUCCUAGUGUAGAGGUGGAAUUCGUAGAUAUUAGGAAGAACACCAGUGGCGAAGGCGGCUCACUGGUCCGGUACUGACGCUGAGGUGCGAAAGCGUGGGGAGCAAACAGG